rnacentral:lncRNA from 1 species
GGCUGACGCGCCACUACUUUGUAGCGGGUUUCGGGCGGGCCACGCGUGCGGCGACAGGAACCCAACCCCAGCCGACCUUGAGCCCCAGGAGUUCGUCUCUUACGUCUGCGGAAGUGCAGCUGCCUCAGUUCUUAGCGCAGGUUGACAACUACAGGCACAAGCCUUUGAAGCUGGAAUGUCCUGUUGCUGGUAAAGAAAUGGAUUAGGGAUAACUCAAGUUUCAUCACCUCUCUACAAGUUUCACACUGUUUAAGUCAUGUACCUACAAAAGCCUGUGAAAAAAUCUUUGAAGAUGCUCAGCUUGUUGCAGUCUGAAAUUUCUCCAAGACCAAUGAACAAAACAGGAUCAUGCCCUGAAUACACACCCAAGCUGCAGGCUCCUGCUUAGCCCUAUUUUGGUUUGGCCUCCAUGAGAUCUUCAGCCACAAAAGCAGGAGAUAAAAAUCUUCCUAGAAGCUUUCAUCAGCUGCAAGUUUUCUUACAGAAUGAAACUUUUCUGCUAUUUUUUCUCAUAGUUAAUUGGCUAUUUGAGAAAACCGAAUUUCUGGCUGUCAGCAUUUAAUUGGAUUCUGUGGGUGACUGGAUGACCGCUUUGCACAUCACCAUGGGUAUCAUCCUUACCUUCUUUAAACCUUUUGUGCCAGUCAAAAAUUCUUGCUCUUGAUAUGUCAUCACCGGAAACUACUUUUUUUUUGUUUCUCUUUUGUGACAG